CCUACGGGAGGCAGCAGUGGGGAAUAUUGGACAAUGGGGGGAACCCUGAUCCAGCGACGCCGCGUGAGUGAAGAAGUAUUUCGGUAUGUAAAGCUCUAUCAGCAGGGAAGAAAGAAAUGACGGUACCUGACUAAGAAGCCCCGGCUAACUACGUGCCAGCAGCCGCGGUAAUACGUAGGGGGCAAGCGUUAUCCGGAUUUACUGGGUGUAAAGGGAGCGUAGACGGCGAUGCAAGUCUGAAGUGAAAGGCGGGGGCUCAACCCCUGGACUGCUUUGGAAACUGGAUGGCUGGAGUGCAGGAGAGGGAAGUGGAAUUCCUGGGGUAGCGGUGAAAUGCGUAGAUAUUAGGAGGAACACCAGUGGCGAAGGCGGCUUACUGGACUGUAACUGACGUUGAGGCUCGAAAGCGUGGGGAGCAAACAGGAUUAGAUACCCCAGUAGUC
rnacentral:rRNA from 1 species